GAUGAACGCUGGCGGCGUGCCUAAUACAUGCAAGUCGAGCGAACAGACGAGGAGCUUGCUCCUCUGAUGUUAGCGGCGGACGGGUGAGUAACACGUGGAUCACCUACCUAUAAGACUGGGAUAACUUCGGGACACCGGAGCUAAUACCGGAUAACAUGUUGAACCGCAUGGUUCAACAGUGAAUGACGGUCUUGCUGUCUCUUAUAGAUGGAUCCGCGCCGCAUUAGCUAGUUGGUAAGGUAACGGCUUACCAAGGCAACGAUGCGUAGCCGACCUGAGAGGGUGAUCGGCCACACUGGAACUGAGACACGGUCCAGACUCCUACGGGAGGCAGCAGUAGGGAAUCUUCCGCAAUGGGCGAAAGCCUGACGGAGCAACGCCGAGUGAGUGAAGAAGGUCUUCGGAUCGUAAAACUCUGUUAUUAGGGAAGAACAAAUGUGGAAGUAACUAUGCACGUCUUGACGGUACCUAAUCAGAAAGCCACGGCUAACUACGUG
rnacentral:rRNA from 1 species